AGAUCAUGUCCCCAUGACUGAGGAAGAAGAAUAUGAUGGAGGUAGCACAAGUGAGGAUGAGAUCAUAUCCAUGUGCCGCAACAAUUUGGUGUAGUCCGAGAAUUUAAUCUUGAAGUUGGUUCCUAUCUUGGGCACAAUGAAACCAGUCAGAAUGUGCUUGCUGUUUGUGAUUUCGACAUGAGAUUUACAUUUGUGAUGUCGGGAUGGCCUGGUUCAGCACAUGACAUGAGAGUUUUCAAAGACGCCGUAACUACUCAUCAAGACAAAUUUCCACAUCCACCACCAGGGAAGUAUUAUGUGGUUGAUGCGGGAUACCCAAACCGGCCAGGCUACCUUUCACCAUACAGAUGUACAAGGUACCAUGUGCAACAAUGGCAAAAUGGCCCGCCGCCACAAGGUAUGAAAGAAACCUUCAACCAUGCACAUGCCAAAGUUAGGAAUGUCGUUGAGCGAUCCUUUGGAGUGUUGAAGAUGAAAUUUAGGAUUUUAUUGAACAUGCCAAAAUUUCCAGAGGACAAGCAAAGUAGAAUUAUUGUUGCCUGUAUGGCUCUUCAUAAUUUCAUUCGAGAGAGCAGAAUUGCGGAUAGGGAAUUUGAUGCUUGUGAUGCAGAUGAAAAUUAUAACCCAAUGCCUAGUUCUUCUGCAUCCG